GAUGAACGCUGGCGGCGUGCCUAAUACAUGCAUGUCGAGCGAACAGACGAGGAGCUUGCUCCUCUGACGUUAGCGGCGGACGGGUGAGUAACACGUGGAUAACCUACCUAUAAGACUGGGAUAACUUCGGGAAACCGGAGCUAAUACCGGAUAAUAUAUUGAACCGCAUGGUUCAAUAGUGAAAGACGGUUUUGCUGUCACUUAUAGAUGGAUCCGCGCCGCAUUAGCUAGUUGGUAAGGUAACGGCUUACCAAGGCAACGAUGCGUAGCCGACCUGAGAGGGUGAUCGGCCACACUGGAACUGAGACACGGUCCAGACUCCUACGGGAGGCAGCAGUAGGGAAUCUUCCGCAAUGGGCGAAAGCCUGACGGAGCAACGCCGCGUGAGUGAUGAAGGUCUUCGGAUCGUAAAACUCUGUUAUUAGGGAAGAACAAAUGUGUAAGUAACUAUGCACGUCUUGACGGUACCUAAUCAGAAAGCCACGGCUAACUACGU
rnacentral:rRNA from 1 species